rnacentral:rRNA from 1 species
UACGUAGGGAGCAAGCGUUGUUCGGAUUUACUGGGCGUAAAGGGCGCGUAGGCGGCGCGGUAAGUCACUUGUGAAAUCUCUGAGCUUAACUCAGAACGGCCAAGUGAUACUGCAGUGCUAGAGUGCAGAAAGGGCAAUCGGAAUUCUUGGUGUAGCGGUGAAAUGCGUAGAUAUCAAGAGGAACACCUGAGGCGAAGGCGGGGUUGCUAGGCUGACACUGACGCUGAGGCGCGAAAGCCAGGGGAGCAAACGGG